CAUGCCGCGUGUGUGACGAAGGCCCUCGGGUUGUAAAGCACUUUCAGUGAGGAAGAACGCCUGGUGGUUAAUACCCAUCAGGAAAGACAUCACUCACAGAAAAAGCACCGGCUAACUCCGUGCCAGCAGCCGCGGUAAUACGGAGGGUGCGAGCGUUAAUCGGAAUUACUGGGCGUAAAGCGCGCGUAGGUGGCUUGAUAAGCCGGUUGUGAAAGCCCCGGGCUCAACCUGGGAACGGCAUCCGGAACUGUCAAGCUAGAGUGCAGGAGAGGAAGGUAGAAUUCCCGGUGUAGCGGUGAAAUGCGUAGAGAUCGGGAGGAAUCCCAGUGGCGAAGGCGGCCUUCUGGACUGACACUGACACUGAGGUGCGAAAGCGUGGGUAGCAAACAGGAUUAGAUACCCUGGUAGUCCACGCCGUAAACGAUGUCGACCAGCCGUUGGUUGCCUAGCGCACUUUGUGGCGAAGUUAACGCGAUAAGUCGACCGCCUGGGGAGUACGGCCGCGAGGUUAAAACUCAAAUGAAUUGACGGGGGCCCGCACAAGCGGUGGAGCAUGUGGUUUAAUUCGAUGCAACGCGAAGAACCUUACCUACUCUUGACAUCCUGCGAACUUGUGAGAGAUCACUUGGUGCCUUCGGGAACGCAGAGACAGGUGCUGCAUGGCUGUCGUCAGCUCGUGUUGUGAAAUGUUGGGUUAAGUCCCGUAACGAGCGCAACCCUUGUCCUUAUUUGCCAGCGCGUAAAGGCGGGAACUCUAAGGAGACUGCCGGUGACAAACCGGAGGAAGGUGGGGACGACGUCAGGUCAUCAUGGCCCUUACGAGUAGGGCUACACACGUGCUACAAUGGUCGGUACAAAGGGUUGCCAACUCGCGAGAGUGAGCCAAUCCCGAAAAGCCGAUCUCAGUCCGGAUCGGAGUCUGCAACUCGACUCCGUGAAGUCGGAAUCGCUAGUAAUCGUGGAUCAGAAUGCCACGGUGAAUACGUUCCCGGGCCUUGUACACACCGCCCGUCACACCAUGGGAGUGGACUGCACCAGAAGUGGUUAGCCUAACGCAAGAGGGCGAUCACCACGGUGUGGUUCAUGACUGGGG
rnacentral:rRNA from 1 species